GAGGUUCGUUUACGCGCCGCUUCGCCGUGCAGGUGGUGGCGAAGCGCUCCUCCGAAAGGUUUCGGAAGCUGGUGGUAGCUCUGAAGAUAACGCUGCGUUAGGGCAUACUGCGGCGGAGGAUGGAACUCCGAUUGAAAGCAGUUGCUGGAGUGGAGCACGAAUUUCAACAGUUGGAGCCGCAUGUUGAAGUGUGAGGCGUGAAAGGGUAUGUCUGAUAUUUGCUUUAAAAUGCUCCAGCAAAGAAAUUAAGGGAUGGAUGAAGCAAAAGAGUAUCACUAUCAUGGUCUGUUGAAGAAACACAG
rnacentral:lncRNA from 10 species